ensembl:lncRNA
UUGAGCCUGCAGUCGAGGUGGAGAGUGUUGGUCUCCGUCUGGCUUGAUGUUGACGCUUCAACAGCGUUCUUUUUGAUGAGGAUGACACACACAACAGUUUGUCUCCAGCACAGUCAAGGUUCCCAUCAGUCACAGAGAAUGAGCUUAACAGGGACAGCACUGUGCGGAAGGUGCUCUGCUGCAUCAGGAUGCAAGAUGGGGUGAAUUCCUCAAGAACUAAAAUCUGCAGUCGUUGCAGAGAAUGGCCUUCAGUAAAAGUCAUGAAGCUGUUCAGCUGUGUUAGCAUGCUGGGUUCAGGGAGUUCUGGACAGAGAGGAGCAGAUGUGGAUCAGCAUCACUGCACCUGAUUCUGGGUAAGCUAUUAAAGGUCAUUUGAUCGCGGUACAGCUGCUCUGAGGAGUUUACAGUUCGCUGUGAUGAUGCUUUUCCUGCCAUUCGUAGUUUCCACCAGAGGUUUAAACACCAAAGAUGGUUCAAGUCUUCCUUGGAUGUCUGAGCGAACACUUUGAAGUUUAACUCUUGUUGAUGACUGAGAACCUUCACAGACAACUCUUGUUAUUGACACGUCUUCUUUCAGAGCUGACUCUGCCUCGAUCUCUGUUUCAGGAUGAACGUCUUCAGUUAUGCCCACCAGCUGUAAACCUGUUGUGUCACCAGAGCUGCUCCCGGCUGACUGGAUGUUUCUGUAAAGGAUCAACCUGCAGACUCUCCAGCACAAGUGUUGGUGGUCAGAGUUCCUGAAGCUGGUACGUAUUCCAAGCUGUUCGUGGCUAUGAUGGAGAUGUAUGACACUGUAGUUACAAAAACGGAUAUUGGAUCCUCUUUUCUAAUUAUCACCAUUUGAACAUUUGGGUCACAUUACUUGUAUAUGUGUAAGUUUGUACUCUGCUUUAAAGUCCUGGGGUGUUGUAGAUGUGUCCCCUUUAACUUUGACUGUAGCCAUUUAACUCUUGAGUUUCUCCCCCUAAAAAAGUACAUGUGAUAGCAAUCACGUAUAGAUUUUUUUUUUUUUUUUUUUCCCCUUAAAUGCCCGUGAAGCCACAGUCUUUAUUAAAACGUGGAAGGGGAAUGUUCGCUGUGAUGAUGUUUUUCCUGCCAUUCGUAGUUUCCACCAGAGGUUUAAACACCGAAGAUGGUUCAAAUCUUCCUUGGAUGUCUGAGCGAACAUUAGAGGAUCGUAGUUCUACUUUUGAAUGUCUUUGUUCUAAGAACUAAAUUGUAUUCUCCCUUUCAGGGAGAUAAUUGCCACGGAUACCAAGGCUAAUCUGUGGAUUCUCCAGGCUGUUAAAGCUGGUAUGUACGGUUACUUGUUGAAGUCUUACGUCUUUGAAGAGUUUAUCGCUGUGAUGAUGAUUUUUCCUGCCAUUCGUAGUUUCCACCAGAGGUUUAAACACCAAAGAUGGUUCAAAUCUUCCUUGGAUGUCUGAGCGAACAUUAGAUUGCAGCUUUGCUUGUGAACUCUUCUCUUCCAGAUCUAACUUUAUCUCAAUUUAUCUCACUUUCAGGCUGGACGUCAACAUUGAUGGACCUGCAAUCAAACAUGAGUCAGCUGUGUAGGGUUUUUUUUUUUUUUUUGUUUUUUUGUAGGUUGAAGUUUGAAAGAUGGCUGUCAUCUAAUCUUAAAAAUAAAAUGAAUCUUAAACAGAAAACAAGCUAGCAGUUUUGUGACUAUAAAUGAGAUGUUCUUAGUUUUGAAGUAACUGUUUUUUAUUUUCCAUGCAUGCUGGCAAAGUUAGUUAGUUUUUUGUAUUUUUACUUGUACAUAAUUUUUAAAGUAAUAAAGAUCCAAUAGGUGUCGAAAGAUUUUGUUUUUAAUCUGUCUUCUCUUGCUGAAAUUCAUUCAUUCAAAUAAGGGGUUUUAGACUGUACACUGUUGCUUCUCGUUGGGCUGCAUUGCUUGGGCAAAUGCUUAAAUAUUUGAUAGAUUGUAACUGAUGAAAACUAUUCAACAUCUAACUCAGUGACGUGAAGAAGAAUCCCAGAGAACAUAAAUUGCAUCAUGUAAAUUUUAACACUACAGAAUAACAUUUGUGAAAUGUUUUCAGACAUUGAACAACUAUAUUAGUUCACUAUACUGUGAAAACCCAGUGUGUCGAGGACUAUUUUGGGAAUAAAUCAGGCUAUACAUGAAGUGUUGAGUUGGUGUUGGCUGAGAAGUUAGUCAGAUUAAGUAGGUAAAUGGGUGUACCUGAUUUUCUACUUGGUAAAACAGUUACAUAUUUCUAAGCAACUGACUUUUACACUGUUAUGCA